UACGGGGGGGGCAAGCGUUGUUCGGAAUUACUGGGCGUAAAGGGCUCGUAGGCGGCCAACUAAGUCAGACGUGAAAUCCCUCGGCUUAACCGGGGAACUGCGUCUGAUACUGGAUGGCUUGAGUUCGGGAGAGGGAUGCGGAAUUCCAGGUGUAGCGGUGAAAUGCGUAGAUAUCUGGAAGAACACCAACGGCGAAGGCAGCUCGCUGGGACGGUACUGACGCUGAGACGCGAAAGCGUGGGGAGCGAACAGG
rnacentral:rRNA from 1 species